ensembl:rRNA 5S_rRNA 5S ribosomal RNA
GCUUACCGGCCAAACCGCCUGCUUCACGCCCGAUCUUGUUUGAUCUCGGAAGCUAAAAUAGGGUGGGCCUGGUUAGUACUUGGAUGGGAGACCGCCUGGGAAUACCAGGUGCUGUAAGCU